rnacentral:lncRNA from 1 species
UAAGUUUGAGAUAAUGUCCUUAGCAGCCAAUCUUCCACCACCAGGGGUGCUAACCUCUAAAGUUGUCUCAGCCAAUUGUGGAGUCAGUUCUAAUCUCUUACAAGCAGCAUGUGAAAUGAAAGAGUGGGACGCUCCAGUAUCAAACAAAGCUAUAACCGGCACGUCGAAAACAUUAAUCAUACCUGCCAAGUUUCCUUGGUUUCCCGCUGCUUGAUUUUGGUUAAGGGCAUAUGCCCUAGCAUUUUGGGGCGGCCCCCGAUGUCCUCCACGACCCUG